UACGAAGGGGGGCUAGCGUUGCUCGGAAUGACUGGGCGUAAAGGGCGCGUAGGCGGUUUGUACAGUCAGGUGUGAAAUUCCCGGGCUCAACCUGGGAACCGCGCUUGAGACUGGCACGCUCGAGUUCGGGAGAGGAUGGUGGAAUUCCCAGUGUAGAGGUGAAAUUCGUAGAUAUUGGGAAGAACACCGAUGGCGAAGGCAGCCAUCUGGACCGACACUGACGCUGAGGCGCGAAAGCGUGGGGAGCAAACAGGG
rnacentral:rRNA from 1 species